GAUGAAGAACGCAGCGAAAUGCGAUAAGUAGUGUGAAUUGCAGAAUUCCGUGAAUCAUCGAAUCUUUGAACGCACAUUGCGCCUUCUGGUAUUCCGGAAGGCAUGCCUGUUCGAGAGUCAUUAACAACCGUUUCGAUCCCUUUCUUUCAGAAAUUACAAAGAGGAAAAGGGUUUGGUUAUGGUGGAGGAGGGAAAGGGAGCGUUUAGCCUGUAAAAAAAGAGGCUGUGUUCCGCCUCCCCCCCAAAAUUGUACAGGCGGUCGUGUGCGCCCACGCAUCGAGGUGUUGUAAAAGCUGCCACGGCACUUUUCACCUGUGCAGUGCGAGAUUGGCCAGCCGGUUUAAAAACCCCUCCAAACAAUCAAAGGUUGACCUCGGAUCAGGUAGGGAUACCCGCUGAACUUAAGCAUAUCGAUAAGCGGAGGA
rnacentral:misc_RNA from 1 species